GACGAACCGAGCGAACGUUGUUCGGAAUCACUGGGCUUAAAGGGCGCGUAGGCGGGUGCUCAAGUCCGUGGUGAAAUCCUCCGGCUCAACCGGAGAACUGCCUCGGAUACUGGGUGCCUCGAGGGUGGUAGGGGUAUGCGGAACUAUCGGUGGAGCGGUGAAAUGCGUUGAUAUCGAUAGGAACUCCGGUGGCGAAGGCGGCAUACUGGACCCCCUCCGACGCUGAGGCGCGAAAGCCAGGGGAGCAAACAGG
rnacentral:rRNA from 1 species